CAAAACACUGGUAAUUAUGAAAUAUAAUGGCAGCAAUCCAGUUCUUGUCAUCUUACAAUCUAAUCGGUUUGUUAAUAGGAACCCUUAUAGUCAAGAGCAUAAAUCAGAUUUCAAUGAAACUGAAUCCUUGUUCACAUAACACUGAUAGCAUAGUCAAUACUCAAUACACGAGUAUUACACAUAUAAUAUGUAUGCAUAUACAUAUUAAGAGUUUCAUUGGCAGCAACUUCAAGUAAUAGUAAAUACACUUUUACUAAUUGUUCCAAACAACAAAUACUAACUGUUCCUGUCAAGAGAUGAAGAGGAAGAAGAGAUCGGAAGGGGCAGCGAGCUAGAAGUCAGCAAAGUGAAUACCCCAUAUACUGAAGAUUACAUACGAGCAGAAACAAUUCAACUGGAAGGAAAAAAUGAAAGGAAAAUUGAAGAACCAACCUCAGCAUCUGUCCAUAUGAUCCCAAGAGUGACAAACUGAUCAUGUUCAAAUGAUUUUUCCAGUUUCAAACAUGCUGCAACCAGAGGGUUUUCGAGCAUGAGUUCGCAGAGAAGUAUUGUGGAACCGUUUGGAAGAGGAAGGGGAAGAAACCCUCGAUGAGAAAGCACAUUUCAUUUGAAGUGGAGAGAAGAAGAAUGUAAAGUGGAGCACCAGUGAAUAGACAUACAUAGUACUCUAUCCGGAAAUUAGUUUCCCUCUCCAAAUGGCUAAUUCAUAUAGCAACAAUCUAAAACAUUAAUCUGCAGCCAUGGAGAACUCAGCAAAGAAGAUGGUGAAGCAUCCCUGAAUACUUCUGGCCACUCUUGACUUCCACAACUGUGUUCCUAAUCCUCAUCAUGG
rnacentral:lncRNA from 1 species